GGGCCCGCACAAGCGGUGGAGCAUGUGGUUUAAUUCGAUGAUACGCGAGGAACCUUACCAGGGCUUAAAUGUAGUGGGACAGGUCUAGAGAUAGACCCUUCUUCGGACUCAUUACAAGGUGCUGCAUGGUUGUCGUCAGCUCGUGCCGUGAGGUGUCAGGUUAAGUCCUAUAACGAGCGCAACCCCUAUCGUUAGUUGCCAGCGAGUAAUGUCGGGAACUCUAACGAAACUGCCAGUGCAAACUGUGAGGAAGGUGGGGAUGACGUCAAAUCAUCACGGCCCUUACGUCCUGGGCUACACACGUGCUACAAUGGGUAUGACAAAAAGUUGCAAGUUCGCGAGAGCAAGCUAAUCUUUAAAGCUUGUCUCAGUUCGGAUUGUUGUCUGCAACUCGACAGCAUGAAGUCGGAAUC
rnacentral:rRNA from 1 species